rnacentral:rRNA from 1 species
AUGAACGCUGGCGGCGUGCCUCAUACAUGCAAGUCGAGCGAACGGACGAGAAGCUUGCUUCUCUGAUGUUAGCGGCGGACGGGUGAGUAACACGUGGAUAACCUACCUAUAAGACUGGGAUAACUUCGGGAAACCGGAGCUAAUACCGGAUGAUAUUUUGAACCGCAUGGUUCAAAAGUGAAAGACGGUCUUGCUGUCACUUAUAGAUGGAUCCGCGCUGCAUUAGCUAGUUGGUAAGGUAACGGCCUACCAAGGCAACGAUGCAUAGCCGACCUGAGAGGGUGAUCGGCCACACUGGAACUGAGACACGGUCCAGACUCCUACGGGAGGCAGCAGUAGGGAAUCUUCCGCAAUGGGCGAAAGCCUGACGGAGCAACGCCGCGUGAGUGAUGAAGGUCUUCGGAUCGUAAAACUCUGUUAUUAGGGAAGAACAUAUGUGUAAGUAACUGUGCACAUCUUGACGGUACCUAAUCAGAAAGCCACGGCUAACUACGUG